GUUUGAUCAUGGCUCAGGAUGAACGCUAGCGGCAGGCCUAAUACAUGCAAGUCGAACGGGGUGGUUCAGCAAUGGAUCAUUCAGUGGCGCACGGGUGCUAACGCGUAUGCAACCUACCUUAAACUGGGGGAUAGCCUUCCGAAAGGGAGAUUAAUACCGCAUAAGAUCACACGAGGGCAUCUGAGAGUGAUUAAAGAUUUAUUGGUUUAAGAUGGGCAUGCGUGCAUUAGCUUGUUGGUGAGGUAACGGCUCACCAAGGCUACGAUGGCUAGGGGUUCUGAGAGGAUGAUCCCCCACACUGGUACUGAGAUACGGACCAGACUCCUACGGGAGGCAGCAGUAGGGAAUAUUGGGCAAUGGACGGAAGUCUGACCCAGCCAUGCCGCGUGCAGGAUGAAGGCCUUCUGGGUUGUAAACUGCUUUUAUCUAGGAAGAAAACACCCAUGCGUGGGAAACUGACGGUACUAGAUGAAUAAGCACCGGCUAACUCCGUGCCAGCAGCCGCGUAAAUACGGAGGGGUGCAAGCGUUGUCCGGAUUUAUUGGGUUUAAAAGGGUGCGUAGGCGGCCCGUUAAGUCAGUGGUGAAAGCUCCAGCUCAACUGAGAACUGCCAUUGAUACUGACGGCUUGAGUACAGACGAGGUUGGCGGAAUUGAUUGUGUAGCGGUGAAAUGCAUAGAUACAUCAAGAACUCCGAUUGCGUAGGCAGCUAACUAGGCUGUAACUGACGCUGAGGCACGAAGCGUGGGGGAGCGAACAGG
rnacentral:rRNA from 1 species